UGGAACAAUGUAGGUAAGGGAAGUCGGCAAGCCAGAUCCGUAACUUCGGGAUAAGUAUUGGCUGUAAGAGCUGGGUCGGUUGGGCUGGGUGCGUGCCGCCACUGGACGAGGCCCCGCCAACCCCCCAAGCCCCAGGAAUGCCUGUUGUGGCCCUCCCCUGCCCCAACCCGCGUGCUGCUCACUCCCUCCCCCGCCCCCUCUCUCCCCGUCCUCCCCCUCUCUGGAGGUGGCAUGUGGGGGCAGAGGGGUGGCAGUGGCCAUACAGCCCCGGUGGCAGGGCAUGAUCUCCCGUGGGGGGGGGGGCUGGUGGUGGCGGUGACUCUGGACACAAGCUGGGCCCUUCCCAUGGAUUGCCCCAGUUGUGGCCGCCCAUGGGGAGCCCAGUGGGUGCUGGCAUGUCCUGUCUUGCUCCGCGCUGUCAUGCGUGUCGGCGCGGGCAGGGAGUGAUUGGGUGUCAGUGGGUGGCAGGCGGGGUGGUUCAUUUCCCCACCUCCCCCGCGGCCCCAUCUGUCUCCUGUUCCCCCCUCUGUGGAGGUGGCGGGCUGCGGGCUGGUCCCCACUACAGGGGCCGCGGUUCCGUGCAGCACCUCGGCCGGUGUUUAGCAGCCGACUUAUAGAACUGGUGUGCACCAGGGGAAUCCGACUGUUUAAACAAAGCAUCACGAAGGCCCUCUGGGGGGUGUUGCAGAGUGAUUUCUGCCCAGUGCUCUGAAUGUCAAAAUGAAGAAAUUCAAUGAAGUAUGGGUAAAUGGUGGAAGUAACUAUGGCUCUCUUAAGGUAGCCAAAUGCCUCGUCAUCUAACUAGUGACAUGCAUGAAUGGAUGAAUGAGAUUCCCACUGUCCCUACCUACUUACUAUCCAGUGAAACCACAGCCAAGGGAAUGGGGUUGGUGGAAUCAGUGGGGAAAGAAAAACCUGUUGAGCUUGACUGUAGUCUGGCAUGGUGAAGAGACAUGAGAGGUGUAGAAUAAGUGGGAGGUCCCCGGUGCCCCCCUAUCCCCGUGAGGGGGUGGGGUGGGGUCCUGUGGGCUGCCCAUGGAAUACUACUACUAUGAUCGUUUUUUCACUGACCUGGUGAGGCAGGGGGUGAGCCCCGAGGGGCCCUCCCUUCUGGUGCCAAGUGCCCAGCUGCGCGCUGGCCGGGUGUUGACCCGUUCUGAGGACAGUGCCAGGUGGGGAGUUUGGGGCGGUACACCUGUUGAACGGUAAUGCAGGUGUCCUAAGGCGAGCUCAGGGAGGACAGAAACCUCUCGUGGAGCAGAAGGGCGAAAGCUCGCUUGAUAGUGAUUUUCAGUGCGAAUACAGACUGAAAGCUGGGCUUUGACGAUCAUUCUGACGUUUUUAAGCAGGAGGUAUCAGGAAGUUACCACGGGGGAUAACUGGCUCGUUGCGGCCAAGCAUUCAUAGGGAUGUUGCUUUUUGAUCCUGUGAUGUUGGUUCUUCCUAUCACUGUGAAGUAGAAUUCACCAAGCAUUGGAUUGUUCACCCACUAAUAGGGCAUGUGAGCUGGAUUUAGACCCUAGUGAGACAGGUUAGUUUUACCCUCCGUGAUGUGUGUUGUUGCCAUGGUAAUCCUGCUCAGCAUGAGAGGAACUGCAAGUUCAGACAUGUGCUUGGUUGAGGAGCCAAUGGGGUGAAGCUACGGUCUGUUGGAUUGUGACUGAAAGCCUCUAAGUCCUGCCCAGGUGGAAGGAUACAGCUGC
rnacentral:ncRNA from 1 species